CCUACGGGAGGCAGCAGUGGGGAAUCUUGCACAAUGGGGGACACCCUGAUGCCGCGACGCCGCGUGAGCGAAGCAGUAUUUCGGUAUGUAAAGCUCUAUCAGCAGGGAAGACAAUGACGGUACCUGAGUAAGAAGCUCCGGCUAAAUACGUGCCAGCAGCCGCGGUAAUACGUAUGGAGCCAGCGUUAUCCGGAUUUACUGGGUGUAAAGGGAGCGCAGGCGGCCUUGCAAGUCUGAUGUGAAAUACCGGGGCUCAACCCCGGAGCUGCAUUGGAAACUGUGAGGCUGGAGUGUCGGAGAGGCAGGCGGAAUUCCUAGUGUAGCGGUGAAAUGCGUAGAUAUUAGGAGGAACACCAGUGGCGAAGGCGGCCUGCUGGACGAUGACUGACGCUGAGGCUCGAAAGCGUGGGGAGCAAACAGGAUUAGAUACCCGGGUAGUC
rnacentral:rRNA from 1 species